rnacentral:rRNA from 1 species
GUGGGGAAUUUUGGACAAUGGGCGAAAGCCUGAUCCAGCAAUGCCGCGUGUGUGAAGAAGGCCUUCGGGUUGUAAAGCACUUUUGUCCGGAAAGAAAUCUGUCUGGCUAAUACCUAGAUGGGAUGACGGUACCGGAAGAAUAAGCACCGGCUAACUACGUGCCAGCAGCCGCGGUAAUACGUAGGGUGCGAGCGUUAAUCGGAAUUACUGGGCGUAAAGCGUGCGCAGGCGGUUUUGUAAGACCGAUGUGAAAUCCCCGGGCUUAACCUGGGAACUGCAUUGGUGACUGCAAGGCUAGAGUGCGUCAGAGGGGGGUGGAAUUCCGCGUGUAGCAGUGAAAUGCGUAGAGAUGCGGAGGAACACCGAUGGCGAAGGCAGCCCCCUGGGAUGACACUGACGCUCAUGCACGAAAGCGUGGGGAGCAAACAGGAUUAGAAACCCCUGUAGUCC